rnacentral:rRNA from 1 species
AUGAACCAGCCGGUGCAGAAGAACAACCUCUACGUAGGUGGAUUGGCGGAGGAGGUGGACGAGAAGAUCAUGCAUGCGACAUUCGUGCUGUUCGGGGAGAUCAAGGACAUCAAGACGCCGCUCGACUAGGCCACACAGAAGCACCGCUCCUUCAGGUUCGUCACGUUCCUGGAGCGCGAGGACGCCACCGCCGCCAUGGGCAGCAUGGAUGGCGUCGAGCUCUUUGGUCGCGUUCUCACCGUGAACUAUUCCUUCCCCGAGGAAAUCAAGGGAGGGGAGCAUGGAUAGGCCGCGCUGCCAGGUAUGUCUGGCAUCCCAUGCUUCUCCACGGUUCAAUUACAUUAUGCCCUGCUUUUGUGCUUGCCUGCCUGGUUUCUUGACACUAGGGUUAGGGCUGCCAAAUAUUUUUCUUACGUGGUAUGA